AGGUCCUGUCCCAGCUCUAGCCCCCCUGUAUAGAGGUUCUGUUCCAGCUCUAGCCCCCCUGUAUAGAGGUCCUGUUCCAGCUCUAGCCCCCCUGUAUAGAGGUCCUAUCCUAAUACAGAGGUCCUAUCCUAAUACAGAGGUCCUGUCCCAGCUCUAGCCCCCCUGUACAGAGGUCCUGUCCCAGCUCUAGUCCCCCUGUAUAGAGGUCCUGUCCCAGCUCUAGCCCCCCUGUAUAGAGGUCCUGUUCCAGCUCUAGCCCCCCUGUAUAGAGGUCCUGUCCCAGCUCUAGCCCCCUGUAUAGAGGUCCUAUCCUAAUACAGAGGUCCUGUCCUAAUACAAGAGGUCCUGUCCAAGCUCUAUCCCCUGUAUGGGGUCUAUCCUAUACAGGGUCCAUCUAGCCACAUAGAGGUCCUGUCCCAGAUCUAUCCCCCCUGUAUAGAGGUCCUGUCCCAGCUCUAGCCCCCUGUAUAGAGGUCCUAUCCUAAUACAGAGGUCCUAUCCUAAUACAGAGGUCCUGUCCCAGCUCUAUCCCCCCUGUAUAGAGGUCCUAUCCUAAUACAGAGGUCCUAUCCCAAUACAGAGGUCCUAUCCUAAUACAGAGGUCCUGUCUCAGCUCUAUCCCCCCUGUAUAGAGGUCCUAUCCUAAUACAGAGGUCCUAUCCUAAUACAGAGGUCCUGUCCCAGCUCUAUCCCCCCUGUAUAGAGGUCCUAUCCUAAUACAGAGGUCCUAUCCUAAUACAGAGGUCCUGUCCCAGCUCUAGCUCCCUGUAUAGAGGGCCCUCUCCUGCCAGGACACCUGAAUGCAGGGCUCGCCCUGUCUGCCCCGGGGCCGCCGGCUGAGGCUGUCACUGCAGUGCUGGAUCUAGGGGGAGCCGCUCCGGCUUGUCCCAGCUCCCAGUCCCGGCCUCUCACACUCCGCUCCGGCCGCUCCGACUCCAGUCCUGCUCUGAGCGGCGCCCAGCCGCUGUCCGAGGUGCUGACAGAGGGGGCGGGGCUUCA
rnacentral:lncRNA from 1 species